CGGGGGUAGGGAGGUAAUGUCUGGGAAACGUGCCUGAUGGAGGGGGGUAACUACUGGAAACGGUAGCUAAUACCGCAUAACGUCGCAAGACCAAAGAGGGGGACCUUCGGGCCUCUUGCCAUCGGAUGUGCCCAGAUGGGAUUAGCUAGUAGGUGGGGUAACGGCUCACCUAGGCGACGAUCCCUAGCUGGUCUGAGAGGAUGGCCAGCCACACUGGAACUGAGACACGGUCCAG
rnacentral:rRNA from 1 species